rnacentral:rRNA from 1 species
AUUGAACGCUGGCGGCAGGCCUAACACAUGCAAGUCGAACGGUAACAGGGAACAGCUUGCUGUUUCGCUGACGAGUGGCGGACGGGUGAGUAAUGUCUGGGAAACUGCCUGAUGGAGGGGGAUAACUACUGGAAACGGUAGCUAAUACCGCAUAACGUCGCAAGACCAAAGAGGGGGACCUUCGGGCCUCUUGCCAUCGGCUGUGCCCAGAUGGGAUUAGCUAGUAGGUGGGGUAACGGCUCACCUAGGCGACGAUCCCUAGCUGGUCUGAGAGGAUGACCAGCCACACUGGAACUGAGACACGGUCCAGACUCCUACGGGAGGCAGCAGUGGGGAAUAUUGCACAAUGGGCGCAAGCCUGAUGCAGCCAUGUCGCGUGUAUGAAGAAGGCCUUCGGGUUGUAAAGUACUUUCAGCGGGGAGGAAGGGAGUAAAGUUAAUACCUUUGAUCAUUGACGUUACCCGCAGAAGAAGCACCGGCUAACUCCGUGCCAGCCGCCGCGUAA